UAGGGGGCGAGCGUUAUCCGGAUUUACUGGGUGUAAAGGGAGCGUAGACGGCGAAGCAAGUCUGAAGUGAAAGCCCGUGGCUCAACCGCGGAACGGCUUUGGAAACUGUUUUGCUAGAGUGCUGGAGAGGCAAGUGGAAUUCCUAGUGUAGCGGUGAAAUGCGUAGAUAUUAGGAGGAACACCAGUGGCGAAGGCGGCUUGCUGGACAGUAACUGACGUUGAGGCUCGAAAGCGUGGGGAGCAAA
rnacentral:rRNA from 1 species